GUGUUGUUAGAGGGGUUCCACAAUGCUGUAAUUCCAGGAUACCUUCUUAAAACAUUGUCAGCGUCUGUAGAUUCUUGUAGAUUCCAGUACAAGCUAAUAACCAGGGUAGGUUGGUGCUCAUGAGAGCAGUUCCUGAACCAUGUGAUGAAUACACCAGUGGAUGUUCUGCAGUCACAGUACAGAGUGAUGUUGUCUCCUGGUUUGACUAACAGAACCACCUCAGAUCCAGAGAUCCCAUCCUGACUGGAGGAAACAGCCCCUA
ensembl:lncRNA